UUCGCCCUUAGAGUUUGAUCCUGGCUCAGGACGAACGCUGGCGGCGCGCCUAACACAUGCAAGUCGAACGAGAGAGAGGGAGCUCGCUUCCUUGAUCAAUUGGCUAGCGGGUGAGGAACGCGUGAGGAACCUGCCUCAGAGAAGGGGACAACAGUCUGGAAACAACUGACUAAUACCGCAUAAGCCCACGACGCCGGCAUCGCGCAAGAAGGGAAAAGGAGCAAUCCGCUUUGAGAUGGCCUCGCGUCUGAUUAGCUAGUUGGAGAGGUAACGGCCCACCAAGCCGACGAUCGGUAGCCGGCCUGAGAGGUUGACCGGCCACAUUGGGACUGAGACACGGCCCAGACUCCUACGGGAGGCAGCAGUGGGGAAUAUUGCACAAUGGGGGAAACCCUGAUGCAGCGACGCCGCGUGGAGGAAGAAGGUCUUCGGAUUGUAAACUCCUGUUGUUGAGGAAGAUAAUGACGGUACUCAACAAGGAAGUGCCGGCUAACUACGUGCCAGCAGCCGCGGUAAAACGUAGGUCACAAGCGUUGUCCGGAAUUACUGGGUGUAAAGGGAGCGCAGGCGGCCGAUCAAGUUGGAAGUGAAAUUCAUGGGCUCAACCCAUGAACUGCUUUCAAAACUGUUUGUCUUGAGUACUGCAGAGGUAGGCGGAAUUCCCGGUGUAGCGGUGGAAUGCGUAGAUAUUGGGAGGAACACCAGUGGCGAAGGCGGCCUACUGGGCACCAACUGACGCUGAGGCUCGAAAGUGUGGGUAGCAAACAGGAUUAGAUACCCUGGUAGUCCACACCGUAAACGAUGAUUACUAGGUGUUGGGAGAUAGAUCCUCUCAGUGCCGCAGUUAACACAAUACGUAAUCCACGUGGGGAGUACGACCGCGAGGUUGACACUCAAAGGAAUAGACGGGGGCCCGCACAAGCAGUGGAGUAUGUGGUUUAAUUAGACGCCACGAGAAGCACCUUACACAAGUCUAGACAUCCUCUGACGAACGUAGAAAUGCGUUUUCUCUUAGGAGCAGAGAGACAGGUGGUGCAUGGUUGUAGUCAGCUUGUGUCGUGAGAUGUUGGGUUAAGUCCCGCAACGAGCGCCACCCUUACGGUCAGUUACUACGCAAGAGGACUUUGGCCAGACUGCCGUUGACCAAACGGAGGAAGGUGGGGAAGACGUCAAAUCAUCAUGCCCCUUAUGACUUGGGCUACACAAGUAGUACAAAGGCGUUAAACAAAGAGAAGCAAGACCGCGAGGUGGAGCAAAACUCAGAAACAACGUCCCAGUUCGGACUGCAGUCUGCAACUCGCCUGCACGAAGUCGGAAUUGCUAGUAAUCGUGGAUCAGCAUGCCACGGUGAAUACGUUCCCGGGCCUUGCACACACCGCCCGUCA
rnacentral:rRNA from 1 species